AUUGAACGCUGGCGGCAGGCCUAACACAUGCAAGUCGAGCGGUAGAGAGGUGCUUGCAUCUCUUGAGAGCGGCGGACGGGUGAGUAAUGCCUAGGAAUCUGCCUAGUGUGGGGGAUAACGUUCGGAAACGGACGCUAAUACCGCAUACGUCCUACGGGAGAAAGCGGGGGAUCUUCGGACCUCGCGCCAUUAGAUGAGCCUAGGUCGGAUUAGCUAGUUGGUGAGGUAAUGGCUCACCAAGGCGACGAUCCGUAACUGGUCUGAGAGGAUGAUCAGUCACACUGGAACUGAGACACGGUCCAGACUCUACGGGAGCAGCAGUGGGGAAUAUUGGACAAUGGGCGAAAGCUGAUCCAGCCAUGCCGCGUGUGUGAAGAAGGUCUUUCGG
rnacentral:rRNA from 1 species